GACGAACGCUGGCGGCGUGCUUAACACAUGCAAGUCGAACGGAAAGGCCCUGCUUGUGUGGGGUGCUCGAGUGGCGAACGGGUGAGUAACACGUGAGUAACCUGCCCUAGACUUUGGGAUAACUUCAGGAAACUGGGGCUAAUACCGGAUAGGAGCUCCUGCUGCAUGGUGGGGGUUGGAAAGUUUCGGCGGUUGGGGAUGGACUCGCGGCUUAUCAGCUUGUUGGUGGGGUAGUGGCUUACCAAGGCUUUGACGGGUAGCCGGCCUGAGAGGGUGACCGGCCACAUUGGGACUGAGAUACGGCCCAGACUCCUACGGGAGGCAGCAGUGGGGAAUAUUGCACAAUGGGCGGAAGCCUGAUGCAGCAACGCCGCGUGCGGGAUGACGGCCUUCGGGUUGUAAACCGCUUUCGCCUGUGACGAAGCGUGAGUGACGGUAAUGGGUAAAGAAGCACCGGCUAACUACGUG
rnacentral:rRNA from 1 species